AUCUGUGCUUGUUUUACUUAUAUUACUGGCCCAGACCCUGAAGACAUUAACUCUGUAACCUCUGUUCUAACCUUUGGAAUUUACCACCCGUUGGCUCCACUUCUCUCUUCAUACAUUUAUCAGAGUCCAGAGGUCAGUUUGAUGUUCUAAGCAGGGGAGCCAAGGAUAAGAAUCUGAGACUGUGUAGAGGGCAGCCUUCUUCUCUUUGGAUUCUGAUUCAGCUCCUUGAGACGACACAUUAUUAGAGCCACUUCAUUCCUAGCCUCAGAAUCCUUCCUCUCUCCUGAAGCAUAGUUUGAAAUCCAUGAGGCAAAAGUAUAAGAAAAACGAUUGUCUGUCUAGAGGUGACUUGGGUUCCAUAUUGGGAAUGAGAGACUCAUAACAAAUCAUAACCCUCCCACCCCUGGCACUCAGUAUUGUAUUUUGGUGGGGAUAACACUGUGGUCUCUAAAAUACAUUCCCCUUCUAAAUACCUGGAGGAGCAAGAUAAUUGUGUUAGGCAGAGAAUUGCCCCAUAAGUGUUUUUCCAGUGUCAUGAAUUGCUGACCGGCGGGGACCCUGUCUGGCUUCUGUGUCUUUGGUGUUGGACAAUAGUAAUGGCAAUGAUGAUGAUAAUGUUGUGACAGGAUAAUUCACUGAAUUAUUAGCUUGUGUGUAUCCUCUGAGCAUUUCCUCUCUCUUGUUUGAAACAGAGAGCCACAUGUCCAUACUGGGCUUCCUAGCUUUGGGUGGAGGACGAAACAGAAGCUCUUUGAAGAUAACUUCCUUCCUGAGUUUUUGAUAUCCAGAAACCUAAGCUCAAGAGGGUAUUAUGUUUUGGAGGUGAGUGAAUUUUACUCGCUCUCUGAGAGAGUCUGAGAUAAGGAUAAUUGAACCAGUAAUUAAAGAAAGAGAUAAAAGAUGGAGAUCAAGGAAGAGGAAAAACAAAGAUCAAGAAUAAACCAACCCAUAUAUGAAAGAGAAACGGUGCUAUUCCUGAGUGCACAUCAGAGUAUGGGCAUGUUGAAUCAAAACAAAAGAUCUCUUUUUAAGUUUUGGCUCAGUCCUCUGUUCAUUUCCAGGUGCCCCUGGAACUCACACGCGCUGCAGAUCCAGGCAUGGACAGGAUACAUGAUCUCCACACACAGAUUUUCCAGGAUGGUCCCAAGAGCGAAUAAGUUGGUUUGGGAAGUGUGGUCACAGUGGCCUUGCGCCAUACUGUCAAAAGGCACGGGUCCUCCUCUCAGGAAGCCUGUGCUUUAG
rnacentral:lncRNA from 1 species